CCUACGGGAGGCUGCAGUGGGGAAUAUUGCACAAUGGGCGAAAGCCUGAUGCAGCAACGCCGCGUGAAGGAAGACGGUUUCCGGAUUGUAAACUUCUGUUCUUAGUGAAGAAUAAUGACGGUAACUAAGGAGCAAGCCACGGCUAACUACGUGCCAGCAGCCGCGGUAAUACGGAGGUGGCAAGCUUUGUCCGGAAUUACUGGGUGUAAAGGGAGCGUAGGCGGGAAGCGAAGUCAGCUGUGAAAACUACGGGCUUAACCUGGAGACUGCAGUUGAAACUGGCUUUCUUGAGUGAAGUAGAGGUUGGCGGAAUUCCGGGUGUAGCGGUGAAAUGCGUAGAUAUUCGGAGGAACACCGGUGGCGAAGGCGGCCAACUGGGCUUUAACUGACGCUGAGGCUCGAAAGUGUGGGUAGCAAACAGGAUUAGAUACCCUUGUAGUC
rnacentral:rRNA from 1 species